CAGUAAUGCGUAGGUAACCUGCCCCCAGGUCCGGAAUAGCCGUCCUAACGGACGGGUAAUACCGGGAGACCCGCCGGGGGGACAUCCCCCUGUCGGCAAAGGUUUACCGCCUGGGGAGGGGCUUACGUGAUAUUAGCUAGUUGGUGGGGUAACGGCCCACCAAGGCCAAGAUGUCUAGCAGGUGUGAGAGCACGACCUGCGCCACUGGCACUGGGACACUGGCCAGACUCCUACGGGAGGCUGCAGUCGAGGAUCUUCGGCAAUGGGCGCAAGCCUGACCGAGCGACGCCGCGUGUGCGAUGAAGGCCUUCGGGUUGUAAAGCACUGUCGAGGGGGAGAAAGGCCGCAAGGCUUGAUCGACCCCUGGAGGAAGCACGGGCUAAGUUCGUGCCAGCAGCCGCGGUAAGACGAACCGUGCGAACGUUAUUCGGAAUCACUGGGCUUAAAGGGCGCGUAGGCGGGCCGCAUAGUCAGGGGUGAAAUCCUCCAGCUUAACUGGAGAAGUGCCUCUGAUACUGGCGGCCUCGAGGGGUGCAGGGGCGUGCGGAACUUAGGGUGGAGCGGUGAAAUGCGUAGAUAUCCUAAGGAACACCGGUGGCGAAGGCGGCACGCUGGACACCUUCUGACGCUGAGGCGCGAAAGCCAGGGGAGCAAACGGGAUUAGAUACCCCGGU
rnacentral:rRNA from 1 species